rnacentral:rRNA from 1 species
UACGUAGGGGGCGAGCGUUGUCCGGAGUUACUGGGCGUAAAGCGCACGCAGGCGGCUCGAUAAAUUAGAAGUGAAAGCCCCGGGCUUAACCUGGGAAUUGCUUUUAAGACUGUCGGGCUAGAAUCCAGAAGAGGGUAGUGGAAUUCCGAGUGUAGAGGUGAAAUUCGUAGAUAUUCGGAAGAACACCAGUGGCGAAGGCGACUACCUGGUCUGGCAUUGACGCUCAUGUGCGAAAGCGUGGGGAGCAAACAGG